GGACCCAUAGCUCAACUGGAUAGAGUACUUGACUUCGAAUCAAGGGGUUGGGGGUUCGAAUCCUCCUGGGUCCGCCA
rnacentral:tRNA from 4 species